UACGUAGGGGGCGAGCGUUAUCCAGAUUUACUGGGCGUAAAGAGCGUGUAGGCGGCUUGGCAAGUCUGCUGUGAAAACUCGAGGCUCAACCUCGAGCUGUCGGUGGAAACUGCUUGGCUAGAGUCCGGAAGAGGAGAGUGGAAUUCCUGGUGUAGCGGUGAAAUGCGCAGAUAUCAGGAAGAACACCUAUGGCGAAGGCAGCUCUCUGGGACGGUACUGACGCUGAGACGCGAAAGCGUGGGGAGCGAACAGG
rnacentral:rRNA from 1 species